UACAGAGGGGCAAGCGUUAUUCGGAAUUAUUGGGCGUAAAGGGCGCGUAGGCGGCCUGGCAAGUGACGGGUGAAAGCCCUCGGCUUAACCGAGGAACUGCCUGUCAGACUGUUAGGCUUGAGACCGGGAGAGGUGAGUGGAAUUCCCAGUGUAGCGGUGAAAUGCGUAGAUAUUGGAGGAACACCAGUGGCGAAGGCGGACUCACUGGACCGGUACGUGACGCUGAGGCGCGAAAGCCGUGGGGAGCAAACAGGG
rnacentral:rRNA from 1 species